UUAAGGAGACGAAUAAAAGCACUCGCUUAAGAUAUUUACAUACAUUUUACGACUAUCGCAUUUACGUUAACGAAGAUAAAAAUUGAUAGAUUUCUAUUUGUUUAUAAAUUAUGGAUCGACAUGAACUUCAAAAAGGUUUUACAGCACUUAAACCGCUUUGCGAUUCAUUAAUGAAAGAUCCAAGUAUUAAAUGUUCGUUGGAGGUUAUUGAUUGUAUAAAAACAAUCUCGAAUGGUGCUAUUCAAGAUUUAUUGGAUUAUAUUUUGUUUCCUGCAAUUGUACAUUUACAAAAUGAGGAUGUCAGUAAACAUUCCAAAGAAUAUUUAGUAAAAAUCAUAAGAACUGUUUUAUCAAAAGGCAAAAUUACAAAGUAUAAAGCUUUUGAUAAGUUAUAUACUAUUAUUUUAUCUCAAAUUUAUGACAAGAACGAACCACAGAAAGUUAUUCCUUGCUAUGAAGAAUUGAAAGAAAUAGUACUUCUCUGUCUUCAGGAUUUAUUAAAUAAUUCUUUUACAAAUGUCCUUGAAGAAUUAUAUACACGACAACAUGCACCCAAACUUGCUCACGGUAUAUAUCUAUGCGUAUCAAUUGCUAAAUACGAAAAAUCACGUUCCCUGAGGUUAAUAGCUAUAGAAACCGUAAUGGCUUUAUGCUAUGUAGGUGAUUCUUCCAAUGAAUUUGAUAUCGUCUUGGUAUCUCAAGUUGCAAAAACUAUAAUGUUAUUGUUACCAGGUAUCGUUAGUGGAUUGCAGGAAGUUGCUUUGGGAAGCGAUAUUCAAGGUCAUAAAAUUACAAUGAUGGCCAUUAGAGCAUGGGCUAGGAUAAUACGUCUUGUAAUGCAAGAUAAGCUCAAUGAUGAAUAUAUGCCUUCGGACUUUUUCACUAGAAUAUUAGAAAUGAAUGUAAUUGAUCCGUUAGAAAAUAAAUUACAUCGUGAAGGAGCUGUGGUAGAAAAUAAAUUACAUCGUGAAGGAGCUGUCGGAGUUGAAAAGUUUUUAAAUUCGACAGAAAGGAAUCAAGAGUGGUUAAAUGCCACAGCUAUUAAAUUAAACGUACUUGUACGAGCAAUGAAUCCUUUAAGAAAACAUUCUCAUUUUAAAGUUAGAAAAGAAUUGACUACAAGUAUUAGUUUAUUAAUAGCAACGUGUGCCAGAAAUAUGAAGCCAAGCAUUAUAGAGCUAAUAGAAUAUUUGAUUUCCUUAUCUGAAGAUGACAACGAAGAAGUUAAAAAAGAAGCUAAGGAAAUGUUAAGUGAAAUUAAUGAAUCUUAUAUGCGGAAAAUAGAUAUGAAACCAUUGGUUGAAUUAUUAGAAGAAAGUUUUUAUAAAUUACUUACGCAAUUGCCACGCAUCAUAAGAAGUUCUGAUGAUAGCGAACAACUAGUAGGUUUAAAUCACCUUUGUGGAUAUUUAAGAUUACUAGGAAAAGAAAGAUUGCCAGCUACUAUACAAUCUGCAGCACACGUACGGAGAUUGAUACAAGCUCUUUUAUACAUCAUUGAAAUAGAUUGCAAUGGUAUUACUCUUUUAGAAGAUUUCGGUGUAAAAGAUCUUGAUGAUUUGAAUCAUCGCAGCCCAACGCAUUCAUGGAAACAAUUGAAGUUUAUACAGGAUAUUUAUUGUAAAGAGAAAAUUGCUACUAUAUGCGAGCUUCUGGGAAUGUACAGCGAUCUAAGAAUUUUAGUCGACAAUAUUCUUCAGGCUAUGUAUAAUGUACCACAACAUAGGAAAGAAUUAAUAUAUCUACUUAAUUCGAUAGUAAAUGUUCCCAUUACAUGCAAUAAUACGUCAACGUUGUCAUUGUAUAAGGAAAUUAUUGAAUUUUAUAUUACUGAAGAUUUUUGGUAUUUACCUAUCGAAGUUACAGAGGAUGUACCGUUACGCGUUGCACAAAAUAAUGUAGUACAAUGUUGCCUUUUAACGGAAGGCUUAGGACAAAUUGCUAAGAAUUUAGGACGCGAUUUCGAAAAAUUUCUUCUGAAAAUAUUAUACUUUGUUAUCGAAAGAGCUGGAAGUACAAAUAGUAUUAUAAGUCGAGUAGGAAUAGAAACUUUAGAAAAUAUUGCAAAAGCGCUAAAAUAUGAAACAAUUGGAGAUCUUCUACGGGCAAAUGUAGAUUAUUUUUCUUAUCAUGUGACUAUUAAGCUACGUAGAAUAGAAAGAAAUCCAGGAGUCCUUGAUGUUGUCAAAGCUGUCAUGAAAUAUAGUUCUAUGGACGUGUUACCGUGUUUAAAAGAAAUUGUACAGGAUGUUCUUCUACAAUUAAAUACUGUUUUUCAAAAACGAAAUACGUUUUCUUUUUUAAACGUUUUUUAUAUAUUUAUACUGUGUAUAAAGAAAUUAACAGCAAAACCAGACGCAGAUGUAACACGAACAUCGCCCACGUUAGUUCAAAAGGAACCACAUGAAAUUAUUACAUUAAAUUUAUUAGAAUUUUAUGAAGCAAGAAAAGCAAAAGAACAAAUUGACCAAAAUCUUAACAACGAAGUUACGGAUGAAGAAAAUACGGAGAAACCAGAUGAGGAAUCUGAAAUGAAUUCAAUGGCCGAGGAAGAAGAAGAGGAAAGGAAUAAUUUACCAACGCAUAUAAAAAUGGUCGAAGAUGUUUUGAAAAGUUGCUUACAUUUUUUACCUUCAAAAGAUAUGAAGCAAUUACUUAUCGCUAUGUUAACUUUAGAGGAAGGUUUGCCAAUUUUAAUUAAAUGGGAAAAUCAAUUAUUACCAAUCGUACAUCAAAUAUGGCAUCCAUUAGUAGACAGAUUUAAGGAUCAAAAUGUACUUGUUUUUAAUCGUUCAUGGCAAUUAUUACGCGCACUUGCGUAUGUUUCGAAAGAUUUCAUUAGGUCUAGAACAUUAAAACAAAUACUACCGGCAUUAUCAUAUUUUAUGAAUAAAUCUGCUAAAGAAAGUUACAACAAAUCUACCGAUGCGGUUUAUAAGUUUACACAAAUGUACAAACUUCAAAAAGAAUUAUUAUCAACGUUGGGACAAAUAGUAAAAGAUCUGAAACUUAUUGAAAAAGACCUAUGGAAUAUAUUGAGUAUUACAGAAGUAUAUCUUAGUUCGCGUCAACAUCCAAUAUUACAAAACUGUUGCAUAAAUUUGUAUAAAGAACUCGCCGAUUACAAUAGCGAUAUGGUUUUAACAAAAUGUCUUAGUAUUUGGCAUUCUAAAAUAGCACCAAUUCCAACCGAUGAAACAUUCAAUUUCGAUUUCUUGAAGAAUACAGAAAGUGUAAUGUCGAAUGAAUAUCUACAAAAUGUGAAAACGAUGAUUACAUAUAUUCAAUAACAAAUUCUAGUCAAACACAAUGAAACGCCUAUAGAAAUAAUAAAAGAUUGUUAAAAAGGUACAAGAGUAUAUGUCUCCGCAUGAAUAUAAAUAAUUAUUUUCAAAUAAAAAUAUGUAUAUAUAUAUACAACAACAACAAUAAUAUAAUUUAUAAACAUUCGAGUUGUUUGAAAUAAUCUUUCACAGUCUUCUUAGCAUGCAUUAAGUUGCAUAUCUUCGAAUAAAUUAAAAAUACUUGAAAAAAAAACUAUCUAAUCUGUGUACCUUGUAUUAGCAAAAAUAUAAAUUCUUAUAGCAUUAUUAGAAUGUAUACUAUAGCAGGUUAUCCAAAACAAGAGAAAAGAAGUUUUAUUAAUAUUCUUAUAUACCAGUUAAUUUCAUUUUCUAAUAUGAAUCGUCGGUAGUGUAAUAAAUAACGACACAAAUUCAUAACUGCGAUAUCACUGGAUCCAAAUCUUCCCUCGGGUCCAAGUUUUUUGUUGUCUUUAAUUUAAAUCAAAUAUAAAAAUAGUAAAUAAUAAUGUUAAUAUAAUCAAGAUUUUUUUCUUA